rnacentral:rRNA from 1 species
AAUUGGAAUGAGUACACCUUAAAUCGUUUAACGAGUAUCAAUUGGAGGGCAAGUCUGGUGCCAGCAGCCGCGGUAAUUCCAGCUCCAAUAGCGUAUAUUAAAGUUGCUGCAGUUAAAAAGCUCGUAGUUGGAUCUGGGGCUUGAGGUCGCUGUCUAUCGUUUCGGCGAUGACGGUGAUGCUCAGCUCUGCUCGCCGGUGACUGUUGCGGUGUUCUUCACUGAGCGCUGUAGCAGCACGGCACGUUUACUUUGAAAAAAUUAGAGUGCUCAAAGCGUGCUUGUCGCUUGAAUAAUGUUGCAUGGAAUAAUGGAAUAGGACCUCGGUUCUAUUUUGUUGGUUUUCGGAGCUUGAGGUAAUGAUUAAGAGGGACGAACGGGGGCAUUCGUAUUGCGGUGUUAGAGGUGAAAUUCUUGGAUCGCCGCAAGACGGACUACUGCGAAAGCAUUUGCCAAGAACGCUUUCAUUAAUUAAGAACGAAAGUCAGAGGUUCGAAGACGAUCAGACACCGUCCUAGUUCUGACCAUAAACGAUGCCGACCAGCGAUCCGUAGUGGUUGCUUUAUGGACCCUACGGGCAGCCUCCGGGAAACCAAAGUAUUUGGGUUCCGGGGGAAGUAUGGUUGCAAAGCUGAAACUUAAAGGAAUUGACGGAAGGGCACACCAGGAGUGGAGCCUGCGGCUUAAUUUGACCCAACACGGGAAAACUCACCCGGUCCGGACACCGUAAGGAUUGACAGACUGAUAGCUCUUUCUUGAUUCGGUGGAUGGUGGUGCAUGGCCGUUCUUAGUUGGUGGAGUGAUUUGUCUGGUUAAUUCCGAUAACGAACGAGACUCUAGCCUGCUAAGUAGUGUUGCUAUUGUUAUAUGGUUGACACUUCUUAGAGGGACAAGUGGCAUUUAGCCACGCGAAAUUGAGCAAUAACAGGUCUGUGAUGCCCUUAGAUGUCCGGGGCCGCACGCGCGCUACACUGGAGAAGUCAGCGUGUGUUAUCCAAGUCCGAAAGGACUGGGUAAUCCGUUGAACCUUCUUCGUGCUUGGGACUGUGGCUUGGAACUAUUCCACAUGAACGAGGAAUUCCUUGUAAUUGCAAGUCAUAAGCUUGCGUUGAUUGCGUCCCUGCCCUUUGUACACACCGCCCGUCGCUACUACCGAUUGAAUGGUUUAGCAAGGUCCUCGGAUCGUGGCCGUAGGGGCACGCAAGUGUUUCUGCGGUUUGCGAGAAGACGACCAAACUUGAUCAUUUAGA